rnacentral:tRNA from 1 species
GCUGUGGUGGCACAGUGGUUAAGAGCUUGGCUGCUAACCAAGAGGUCAGGUCAGUGGUUCAAAUCCACCAGCUGCU